UACGUAGGGUGCGAGCGUUAAUCGGAAUUACUGGGCGUAAAGCGUGCGCAGGCGGUUCGUUAUGUCCGAUGUGAAAGCCCCCGAGCUUAACUUGGGAAUGGCAUUGGAAACUGGCGGGCUGGAGUGCGGCAGAGGGGGGUGGAAUUCCACGUGUAGCAGUGAAAUGCGUAGAGAUGUGGAGGAACACCGAUGGCGAAGGCAGCCCCCUGGGCCGACACUGACGCUCAGGCACGAAAGCGUGGGGAGCAAACAGG
rnacentral:rRNA from 1 species